rnacentral:rRNA from 1 species
UACGUAGGGUGCGAGCGUUGUCCGGAAUUAUUGGGCGUAAAGAGCUCGUAGGCGGUGUGUCACGUCGGCCGUGAAAACCUGCAGCUUAACUGUGGGCGUGCGGUCGAUACGGGCAUCACUGGAGUUCGGCAGGGGAGACUGGAAUUCCUGGUGUAGCGGUGAAAUGCGCAGAUAUCAGGAGGAACACCGGUGGCGAAGGCGGGUCUCUGGGCCGAUACUGACGCUGAGGAGCGAUAGCGUGGGGAGCAAACAGG